CCCUUAGAUGUCCUGGGCUGCACGCGCGCUACACUGAUGUGUCCAGUAAGCACCUAACCUCUUCCGAAAGGAACGGGUAACCUUUGCAAAGCACAUCGUGAUGGGGAUAGAUUAUUGCAAUUAUUAGUCUUGAACGAGGAAUUCCUAGUAAGCACAAGUCAUCAGCUUGUGUUGAUUACGUCCCUGCCCUUUGUACACACCGCCCGUCGCUCCUACCGAUUGAAUGUUCCGGUGAGCUCUUCGGACUGCGCGGUCUGCAGUUUCUGCGUUCCGUGCGGAAAGUUGCGCAAACCUUAACAUUUAGAGGAAGGAGAAGUCGUAAC
rnacentral:rRNA from 1 species